CCUACGGGUGGCAGCAGUGGGGAAUAUUGCACAAUGGGCGCAAGCCUGAUGCAGCCAUGCCGCGUGUGUGAAGAAGGCCUUCGGGUUGUAAAGCACUUUCAGCGGGGAGGAAGGCGUUAAGGUUAAUAACCUUGGCGAUUGACGUUACCCGCAGAAGAAGCACCGGCUAACUCCGUGCCAGCAGCCGCGGUAAUACGGAGGGUGCAAGCGUUAAUCGGAAUUACUGGGCGGAAAGCGCACGCAGGCGGUCUGUCAAGUCGGAUGUGAAAUCCCCGGGCUCAACCUGGGAACUGCAUUCGAAACUGGCAGGCUAGAGUCUUGUAGAGGGGGGUAGAAUUCCAGGUGUAGCGGUGAAAUGCGUAGAGAUCUGGAGGAAUACCGGUGGCGAAGGCGGCCCCCUGGACAAAGACUGACGCUCAGGUGCGAAAGCGUGGGGAGCAAACAGGAUUAGAUACCCCAGUAGUC
rnacentral:rRNA from 1 species